rnacentral:rRNA from 1 species
AGCAUAUCAAUAAGCGGAGGAAAAGAAACCAACAGGGAUUGCCUUAGUAACGGCGAGUGAAGCGGCAACAGCUCAAAUUUGAAAGCUGGCCCUUUCAGGGUCCGCGUUGUAAUUUGUAGAGGAUGAUUCGGCGAGGGCUCCCGCCUAAGUCCCCUGGAACGGGGCGUCAUAGAGGGUGAGAAUCCCGUAUGCGGUGGGCUGCCUUAGCCAUGUGAAUCUCCUUCGACGAGUCGAGUUGUUUGGGAAUGCAGCUCUGAAUGGGAGGUAAAUUUCUUCUAAAGCUAAAUACCGGCCAGAGACCGAUAGCGCACAAGUAGAGUGAUCGAAAGAUGAAAAGCACUUUGGAAAGAGAGUUAAAAAGUACGUGAAAUUGUUGAAAGGGAAGCGCUUGCAACCAGACUUGUCCGCAGUUGCUCAGCCGGUCUCCUGACCGGCGUACUCUUCUGCGGCCAGGCCAGCAUCAGUUCGGGCGGUCGGAUAAAGACCUCGGGAAUGUAGCUCCUCUCGGGGAGUGUUAUAGCCCGGGGUGGAAUGCGGCCAGCCUGGACUGAGGAUCUCGCUUCGGCAAGGAUGCUGGCGUAAUGGUUGUAAGCGGCCCGUCUUGAAACACGGACCAAGGAGUCUAACAUCUAUGCGAGUGUUUGGGUGUCAAACCCAUACGCGUAAUGAAAGUGAACGGAGGUGGGAACCCGCAAGGGUGCACCAUCGGCCGAUCCUGAUGUCUUCGGAUGGAUUUGAGCAAGAGCAUAGCUGUUGGGACCCGAAAGAUGGUGAACUAUGCCUGAAUAGGGUGAAGCCAGAGGAAACUCUGGUGGAGGCUCGCAGCGGUUCUGACGUGCAAAUCGAUCGUCAAAUUUGGGUAUAGGGGCGAAAGACUAAUCGAACCAUC